GAGGGAGAAAGAGAGAAGAAGAAGAAAAAGAAACAGCAGAAAAAAUAUGGGAAAUUUCAUCAUCACGUGGAAAACUGCUGGCUAUUCAAUUUUUGCGCUGGCUAUUUUGUCUGGCUAUCUGAUGUUUGGGCUGGCUAUUCUGCUGGCUAUCGGGUAAAAAUCUUAGAAAAAGGUCUGAUGU
rnacentral:ribozyme from 1 species